rfam:Stegodyphus mimosarum contig73960, whole genome shotgun sequence.
GUCUUCGUUGUAUAGUGGUGAGCACGCUCGACGCGUAACCGAGAGGUCCGUGGUUCGAUUCCCGGCGAAGGCA